UACGUAGGGUGCGAGCGUUUGUCCGGAAUUACUGGGCGUAAAGAGCUCGUAGGUGGUUUGUCGCGUUGUUCGUGAAAACUCACAACUCAAUUGUGGGCGUGCGGGCGAUACGGGCAGACUGGAGUACUGCAGGGGAGACUGGAAUUCCUGGUGUAGCGGUGGAAUGCGCAGAUAUCAGGAGGAACACCGGUGGCGAAGGCGGGUCUCUGGGCAGUAACUGACGCUGAGGAGCGAAAGCGUGGGGAGCGAACAGG
rnacentral:rRNA from 1 species